GGCCACACCUGCAGCAUGUGGAAGUUCUCAGGAGUCGAAUCAGAGCCACAGCUGUGGACCUACACCACAGCCACAGCAGCUUGAGAUCCAAGCCACGCCUACAUCCUACAGCACAGCUCACGGCAGUGCUGGAUCCUUUAACCCACUGAGCGAGUCCAGAGGUCGAAUGCGCGUCCUCAUGGAUACUAGUCAGGCUUGUUACUGCUAAGCCACAAUGGGAACUUCCUAUAUAAAUUAUCUUAAUUGAGCAACCAUGUGUUAACAGACUAUGCAUCAGGCCCUGAGCUGGGCUAGGAAGACAGAAUACUAAAUAAGAAGUUUUCUGUUGAGCAGUUGCUAUGGGGGCUCAGCAGUAACAAACCCGACUAGUAUCCAUGAGGACAUGGGCUCCAUCCCUGGCCCUGCUCAGUGGGUUAAAGACCUGGUGUUGCUGUGGCUGUGGUGUAGGCUGGCAGCUGCAGCUCCAAUUUGAUCUCUAACCUGGGAACAUCCAUAAAGAGACUGAAAAAAAAAAAAAAGUUUUCUGUUGAGAGUUCCUUGGUGGCUUUGAUGGGUUAAGGGCCUGGUGUUGUGACGCUGUGUCUCAGGUCACUGCGGUGCUGGGGAUUUGAUCCUUGGCCCAGCAGGAAAUCCGCCUGCCCUAGAUAUACCCAAAAACAAAAACAAAACAAAACAAAAAAGCUUUCUGACUGUUGGAGGCAAUAAAAGGAUUCAGUGCUUACAACACAAUGUGAUGACCCGAAAGUCCAGGAGCUGAACUCCCAGGACUCAAAAGUGGAUCAAGGACACAGCGCUUCCCAAGCCGAGGUCUGAUGAGGGCAGAGGGCAUAGGAUGUCCUUGGCCUCUGGGCUGCCUUGGAGAAAUGAAUGAAGAGGCAUCAGUGUUCUAUGCCCAUCUGCCAACUACCCCUCUCUCUCCCUCCCUUAUAUGUGAACAGGAGUUAGUCCUAAGCAUGAAGUGAAUGUCCCUGUUUCUUGAGCCCAGUUCUCCAGGAAUUCAGGUGGUGACUAUGGAGGAGGCAACCAGAGGCUAGGGGAGCACAUACAAAACUACUGAGAAGGAAAGAGUAUUACCUGCCUAAAGAAAGGUAUCAAGGAAUUCCAGUCGUGGCUCAGAGGAAAUGAAUCUGACUAGCAUCUGAGAGGAUGCAGGUUUGAUCCCCGGCCUCUCUCAGUGGGUUAAGGAUCUGGCAUUGCCAUGAACUGUGGUGUAGGUCCCAGACGUGGCUCAGAUCCUGUGUGGCUGUGGCAUAGGCCAGCGGCUGCAGGUCCAAUUCGACCCCGAAACUGGGAACCUCCAUAUGCCAUGGGUGCGGCCCUAAAAAGAUUAAAAUAUAUAUAUAUAUAAAGGGAACACAAGGAAACACAGGAAAAUGUGUUCCUGCUGGAAUGUAAAUUCCACGAGGCAGGGACUUCGAGCAUUUGAAGAAGACUCCAUCUCUGGCAUGCAGCCCAGGAUGAUGUCGUAUGCAGUGGCGCUCAAGUAUGUGCUGAAUGUAAAAAAGAAUGAACGAACGAAUGGGUAAGUGAAUGAAGACUUGAGAGAUGGAGCUCCCGGAGGUGGGGACUGGUGCACAAGCUGCCUGGCUGGAGGCCCUCAGAGGUAGCUCAAGACUGGUGUUCUUUAAACAUCUAAUGCAUCGACCAACUCCUUCGCGCCUCGCCUCCCCCACCCACAGUUCUAUCAGCCAAAAGGGAGCGAGAACACUCAGCAGGCAGGAAGCACAUUCCAACCUAGAUGACUGAUACCCUCCUGUGACCCGGAGUGUGGCCUCAGGUGAGUGAGUGAUCAGGUGUCCACCAGGCUCUCAGGCUCCAUUCAACCCAGGGGCUGGUGAGGCCGAACCACUGCAAGUUCACCGUGUUUACUGCCAGUGCCACCCAAGGCAGCCUCCUGACCCACAGGCCUGGGGACACCUCCCCCGCACCACCCCCCUCUUGACUUUGCCCUGAUCACCAAAGUGUUUCUCCAGAUACCCCCGGGGGAGGUGGCCGACUUGGCACCCAAAGCCUAGCUCCCUCGGGAGCCACCCUGCCCUACACAGCCCCCCUGGGGCAGCCCCAGCCUCAGGGUUGGUCCCCAGAAACUCAAGCUGCUUGUGCUUCUCAGCAAGGAACAGAUGCCCUGGGGACCUGCUCAGGACCUGCCACCGGAGUCAGCCCAGCCCCCUGCCUCACAGCUCACCGCGCCUCCUCCCACCCCAGGCAACACCACCACACACUCACCAGGAAGAUGGUGCCCUGGGCUCUGGGCUCAGAAAGAUCUGGGUUUGGAGCCUGGCCCCACCACUCACUGGCUGUGUGGCUCUGGGAAGAAUACUGCACUUCUCUGGGCCUCAGCUGUGUGCCUCAGUUUCCCCGUCUGUAAAAUAAGGACAAUAAUGAUCAUAAAAGCCAGAGUUUAGUGCAGGAAACUGGUAUUCUGAGCACAAACGGAGGUGAUACGGGAUUCGGUGCUUAUGGGAUGCGGGAUGGCUGCAUGGGGGAGGGAGGGAGGGGAGUUGUCUCCAGAGGAUCUGCUCCCGGGGCUUGGGCAGGAGGGCCUCCACUGCUGCUGCCAGGGGUGGGGACCGCGCACUGCUGCAGGAAAAGAUGCACAUCUGUGGGAUCCUGCUUGCCAGAAGGGAGCAGCCAAAGCAGCGGGAGGGUGGUCUCUGGCUCCCGUCCACCUUCCAAGUCCCACGUGAGGGUCUCAGCGUCAGAUCACAGGAUGCUCUCCCCUCGCUUGUCCCUCCCUAGAAGGCCUCUCCCUGGCUUCCCUCCUUUCCAGCCGGCAGGAUGCGGCAGAGUGGAGCGCCCUCGUGUGGGCGAGAGCGGCCCUGCAGCCCGGCCGCCCGGAUCCCAGGCUGCCCUCCUUGCCGCUCAGAGCCGCUGUCCCACGGAUGCCAAGGCUGUGCCAUCGCACACCCCCUCUACUCCAACGGGCCUGCCUCUGACCUACAUUCCCGGCUUCUUUUACCUCUGAAUGUUAUCUCACAUUUUAAAAUUCAGUAUUCUAUGCAUAUCAAAGAGUAUGCAUUAGUUAUCUAUGCCUAUGUGACCAAUUACCCUACAAUGCAGCAGUUUAAAAUAGCAAACAAUUACUACCUCAGUUUCUGAUGGUCAGAAAUCUAGGAGCAGCUUAGCUGGGUGGCUCUGGCUGAGGGUCUCUCCUGCAUUUGCUGUCAACACACUGGCUAAGGCUGUGAUCAUCUGAAAGCUGGGGUGGCUCCGCUUCCAAGCUCACUCACUCUGUCAUUCACAAGAGCUCUUAGUUCCUUGCCUUUGGGCCUCCCCAUAAAGCUGCUGGGGACAGUUCAGCUGGCUUCCCCCACAGCAAAUGUUCCCAGGGAAAAAGAGAGCAAGAGAAAGCAAAAUAUUGGAGUUCCCAUUGUGGCUCAUUGGAAAUGAACUCGACUAGUACCCAUGAGGACACAGAUCUAAUCUCUGGCCUCGCUCAGUGGGUUAAGGAUCUGGUGGUAUAGGUAGCAGACACAGCUUGGAUCUGGCAUUGCUGUGGCUGUUGUGCAGGCCUGCACCUGCAGCUCUGAUUCAACCCCUAGCCUGGGAACUUCCAUAGUCACUGGUAUGGCCCUAAAAAAAGAAAGAAAAAGAAAGAAACCAAAAUAUUAAAAUCCAACCUCAGAAGGGUCAUACCAUCAUGUCUGUUGAAUUCUCACACAAGUUGACCCUGGGACAAUGGGGGAGGAAUAGGAAUUCCAGGAGCAGGGGUCACUACGGUCCUUCUUGGAGGCACUCUCUCUCUCUCUCUCUCACACACACACACACAUAUGUAUUUUCUUUUUAGGGCCACACCUGCAACAUAUGGAAGUUCCCAGGCUAGGGGUCAAAUUGGAAUUGCAGCUGCCGGCCUACACCACAGCCACAGCAACACAGAUGCAAGCCACUCUGCAACCUACACCACAGCCCACAGCAAUGCUAGGGUCCUUAACCCACUAAUAUCGAGGCCAGGGGUUGAACUGACAUCUUCAUGGAUACUAGUUGGAUUUGUUACCAGUGAGCCACAACAGGAACUCCCAAAUACAUAUGCAUAUUUUUUAGAUGUUACAAAACAAAAUAUGAUCAACAUGAAACCAAGCAGGACCCUGUGGAGUUCCUGGGCACAAAAGCCUUUCUGUGUUAUUUCUUGUUUGUAGAAACAAGGCCUCAUUCAGCCUCCGUGACUUUCCCUGAGUUCCAAAGGGCAGGUUCAAACUAUGGCUAAUCAGGGAAGGGAGGGGAUACAGAGACAAGGGAAGAGCAGUCAGGAAACAUAGCGCAGCCUUGGGCCAAGGUCCUGGUUCCUCAGUCAGGAAACAGUAGCGCAGCCUUGGGCCAAGGUCCUGGUUCCUCAGUCAGGAAACAGUAGCGCAGCCUUGGGCCAAGGUCCUGGUUCCUCAGUCAGGAAACAGUAGCGCAGCCUUGGGCCAAGGUCCUGGUUCCUCCUCAAGGAUUAGACACAACAGUAUCUUUGAGAGCACCUAUCUGCACAAAGGCCCCCACCCCCAAAUUUUGCCUAUAUAAACAUCUCCCAAACCAUUGGGGACUUCAGGGUUUUUGAGCACAAGCCACCCAUUCUCCUUGCUUGGCCCUGCAAUAAACUGUCAACUUAAAAAAAAAAAAAAAAAAAGCAUAACCUGAAAGUUGAGAGUUACGUUUUAUUUGGGGUGAAAUUAGGACUUAAGCCUGGGAGACAGCAUCUCAGAUGGCCCUGAGAAACUGCUCCAAGGAGGCCAGGGGGGAACUAGGACGUAUGAGUUUUUGCAACAAAGGGAAGAUAGUAGGAAGCAUAGAUUCACAGAUAACCCGACUGACAGACAAAGAUGUCCAGAAAACAAGUUUCUAUUGGAACAUGCAAAGGUCUGGGCUUCUUGGAAUCACUCCUUUGCUAUGGGCCAGUCGUUGUUUCUUUCCUGAGUUCCCUCAGGGCUCACUGGCCCACUCUUGGGAGUGGCUGUUCUCACAGAUGACCCUGACAUCUUUCAUUUUGUCCACUCAACUAUGGCCCAGGAGGAAGCCCAGCUCUGAAACACCACCCCAAAGAGGAAAGGGGGAAGCUCCAGAUAGAGGUCAGAAAGGUGGUGGGGAGGUGCAUGCACCUGCUAGGCUCCCUGCUGCCGAAAAUGUCCCCACAGGAAUAAUGGCAGGUGCUAUGAUGCACUGCAGCCCAGACCCCCCUCCAGGCAUGCCCGUCACUCCCCAGCCACUGGGACUGUCCCUUCUGGAUUGCUUAAGAUCACGUGGCCUUCCUAGGCCAGGCUGCACCCAAUGCCAGUCAACAUGAAGGCCUAAGGUCCAGCCAGCUCACCUCAAUUUGGGUCACCUCUGAAGGUCGCAUCAGCUCCUGUGCUCCCAGGAGGGUUGGUGGGGCAGUUGUUCAGCGCAGCUCACCUCCCUCUGGCCAACCCUGCUGCCAACCCUCUUCUGCAGGUGACAAUCCCAAGAGGGUCCCCUAGUGAACAUCCCACACUCGGCUCCAUCUCAGAGUUUGCUCAUUGAGCAUCCCCACUGGCGACAGAAAUUUAAGUUAGGGAGUGUUAGGAGUUCCCGUCAUGGCGCAGUGGUUGAUGAAUCCAACUAGGAACCGUGAGGUUUCGGGUUCGAUCCCUGGCCUUGCUCAGUGGGUUAAGGAUCCGGUGUUGCUGUGAACUGUGGUGUAGGUCACAGACAGAGCUCGGAUCCCACGUUACUGUGGCUCUGGCGUCAGCCAGUGGCUGCAGCUCUGAUUGGACCCCUAACCUGGGAACCUCCAUAUGCUGUGGGAGCGGCCCCAGAAAAAGGCAAAAAGACUAAAUAAAUAAAUAAAUAAAUAAGGGAGUGUUAAAAAUGUACAUUUUAGGAGUUCCUGUUGUGGCUGAGUGGGUUAAGAACCCGAUUAGUAUCCAGGAGGAUGUGGGUUCGAUCCCUGGCCCCGCUCAGUGGGUUGAGGAUCUGGCAUUGCCGUGAGCUGUGGUGUAGGUCGCAGACAUGGCUCAGAACCUGCGUUGCUGUGUCUGUGGCGCAGGGCAGCGGCUACAGUUCUGAUUCGACCCCUAGCCUGGGAAUCUCCAUAUGCCACAGGUUCAGUCCUAAAAAAGACCAAAAAAAAAAAAAAAAAAAGUCCACACAGAAGAUUCUCUAGGACUGGUGCAGACACUUAACUGUGAACCUUCUGGGCCUUAAUUCCCUGGGCAGGAGACAGGGAUGGGGUCAGAGUGAGACAGAGCUGCGGUUACACAGUUUGCUGCAGCAGCCUGACAGCAGAAGGGACACAAUGGCCUCCUAGAGACCCUUCCAAAGAGGACGAAAUACUACUCAGCAAGUGCUUGGCAGUGAUGGGCAGAAGAGCCCACCUCCUGGGGGCUGGGCCUGUCCCGAAUUAGGACCCAGGGGCGACCAUCACCACCAUCUCAGCCAAGAGGAUUGUCCCCAUGGAGAUGAGCCCUCGGCAGGGGGUGCAGGCUCCGAACAGUGGAGAGGGUGACAGGGACAGGAAGGAAAUGCCAUCUCCAAAGCCAAGGCCCAGGCCUGUUUAAAGCCUUGAUGCUGUCACAGGCCUGGGGGUGGGCUGGGCGGAGAAGGGCCCAGUAAUUGAGAAAGCAAGCGGAGAAGGGCCCUGCGGAUGCUGACCCACCCAGGUCUGUGCCUGGCUGGACUCCGAGCAGCACCCUUGGCCUCCUGGGUGGUGACACUGGAGGAAGAAGUGAGUGUAAAGCCAGACUUUCUUGCAGCUUGAUGGGCUCUGUUUCUUUUUUCUUUCUUUUUUUCUUUUUUAGCCUCGCCUCCAAAAAAAAGGAAAUUCCUGGGCCAGGGAUCGAACCCACACUGCCUCAGACAAUGCAGGAUC
ensembl:lncRNA